UACAGAGGGGGCAAGCGUUGUUCGGAAUUACUGGGCGUAAAGGGCGCGUAGGCGGCCUGUUAAGUCGAACGUGAAAUCCCCCGGGCUCAACCCGGGAACUGCGUCUGAUACUGGCAGGCUUGAAUUCGGGAGAGGGAUGUGGAAUUCCACGUGUAGCAGUGAAAUGCGUAGAGAUGUGGAGGAAUACCGAUGGCGAAGGCAGCCUCCUGGGCCAACACUGACGCUCAUGCACGAAAGCGUGGGGAGCAAACAGG
rnacentral:rRNA from 1 species